GUCAUUAUGGCAACAUCUGAUAAAAUUGAAAUGAUACUGAGGAGAAGAGUAGCAUAACUCCUGCUUAAAGAUGACAUGCAUAAAUCGAGGAACAACCAGAGCUAUU